CUCGAUGAUGAUACCGCGACACGCAAAGGCAUUCCUCGAACAUAAUCUACUAUGUUGAAUCUGUCGACUACAAGUUUCAGCCUUGUCUGAGC
rnacentral:snoRNA from 1 species